CAGUCGCCGCGGUAAUACGUAGGCGGCAAGCGUUGUCCGGAAUUAUUGGGCGUAAAGGGAGCGCAGGUGGGACGGUAAGUCCGUCUUAAAAGGCAGGGGCUCAGUCUCUGUAAGGGAUGGAAACUAUCGAUCUUGAGUGCCGGAGAGGAAAGCGGAAUUCCCAGUGUAGCGGUGAAAUGCGUAGAGAUGUGGAGGAAUACCAAAGGCGAAGGCAGCCCCUUGGGAAAGUACUGACGCUCAUGUGCGAAAGCGUGGGGAGCAAACAGGAUUAGAUACCCCGGUAGUCCCUGUCUCUUAUACC
rnacentral:rRNA from 1 species